AAGGGUUUAGGUAAACUGGGACCUGGAAGAAUCCAUUGAAGGGUUUAGGUAAACUGGGACCUAGAAGAAUCCACUGAAGGGUUUAGGUAAACUGUCUGGGACCUGAAGUAUCCAUUGAAGGGUUUAGGUAAACUGGGACCUGAUGAAUCCAUUGAAGGGUUUAGGUAAACUGUCUGGGACCUGGAAGAAUCCUUUGAAGGGGUUAGGUAAACUGUCUGGGACCUGGAAGAAUCCUUUGAAGGGGUUAGGAAAACUGUCUGGGACCUGAAGAAUCCAUUGAAGGGUUUAGGUAAACUGGGACCUGGUAGACUCCAUUGAAGGGUUUAGGUAAACUGGGACCUGUAAGAAUCCAUUGAAGGGUUUAGGUAAACUGUCUGGGACCUGAAGAAUCCAUUGAAGGGUUUAGGUAAACUGGGACCUGGUAGAAUCCAUUGAAGGGUUUAAGUAAACUGUCUGGGACCUGAAGAAGCCAUUGAAGGGUUUAGGUAAACUGUCUGGGACCUGAAGAAUCCAUUGAAGGGUUUAGGUAAACUGGGACCUGGUAGAAUCCAUUGCAGGGUUUAGGUAAACUGGGACCUGGUAGAAUCCAUUGAAGGGUUUAGGUAAACUGGGACCUAGAAGAAUCCAUUGAAGGGUUUAGGUAAACUGGGACCUGGUAGAAUCCAUUGAAGGGUUUAGGUAAACUGUCUGGGACCUGGUAGAAUCCAUUGAAGGGUUUAGGUAAACUGGGACCUGAAGUAUCCAUUGAAGGGUUUAGGUAAACUGGGACCUAGAAGAAUCCAUUGAAGGGUUUAGGUAAACUGGGACCUGGUAGAAUCCAUUGAAGGGUUUAGGUGAACUGGGACCUAGAAGAAUCCAUUGAAGGGUGUAGGUGAACUGUCUGGGACCUGGUAGAAUCCAUUGAAGGGUUUAGGUAAACUGGGACCUAGAAGAAUCCAUUGAAGGGUUUAGGUAAACUGGGACCUGGUAAAAUCCAUUGAAGGGUUUAGGUAAACUGGGACCUGGUAGAAUCCAUUGAAGGGUUUAGGUAAACUGGGACCUGGUAGAAUCCAUUGAAGGGUUUAG
ensembl:lncRNA